GCGUAGCCCUAUUUCCGCCGUCGCGGGCUAAGAAAAGGGAGGUCUGGUCGCGUGCUUGUUCUUUUUUGACAUCCCGCGCGCUCUCUCGCCAUCUCUCGAAAUCCUCAAGCAUCCUGCAACUUCCCCAGCUGUCUGCUCUGUCUCCGCCGCUUCCCGGCGCCAGGGCGUCGGGGUGAGUUUACUGCGAGGCCUCGCUGUGAACGCCUCUCCUGCAGACAUGAAAGCUCUCUCCUGGAUGUUUCUUGCUGGUUCUGCAGCAGCCAGCGCCCUCUUCUCUCUGGAUUCCCUCGGGGGCGUUCAGCCUGCAGGGGGAGGAUGUCCCCGGGUCUGUCCAUCCCAACACACUGCUGCUUUCCUCCCAACAUCUCACCUAGGGACUCCCAGACCCCAAUCAAGUUCUGAAAGUACCUUCUCUGCAGCAGCUCUACAGAGGAGGAAGAAGGUCCUGCUAGACAAGGGAAAAGAGCUCAGAGAAAAGGAAGCAAUGUGACCUGGCGUUCUCAUUCCCUGCUCCAGACCACCUAAACACUGCCAGCCUCGAAGCCUGCAGAGAACAUUCAUUCCAGAGAACCAGAUGGGGCCUUGAUAGAUUGCCCAGAUUGGCCUCGGAACUUUGAGUCCUCCUGCCAGCAUCUCCGAAGUCACUGGGAUUACAGGAUUGUCAGCUGUCCUCUGCCUAGCAGCCCCCUGUCAUUAAGAGGAGGCUGAAAAAGAAAAAAAGGGGAGGCUGGGCUAUGAUGCUCUGAGGUGUGGAUCCUGGAUGCUUCUCCAGAGAGAACAGUGAUGUUCAGCUUCAAGACCAAGGCAAAGGCUGCUUCCUUUUGUUUGCUUCCUCACUGUGGCCUGCAGGGACAUGCUCCCCAAACUCUCCUCCCAUUCUGAGAAGCAGAAGAAGCUUUUGUUAAACACAAUCUUGGUGGGUGCUGUUCAUGGACACCGGAGGGGCAGAGAAUUAAGAGCAAUGUCAUCCUAUGAAGCUUCACUGCCAGCUGUAUGCAGAGAAACGAGGGCCAUGGACAGGAAAGCCCAGCUCCAUCUGUCUGCCUGUAUUUGCAGUAACUUUUUUUUUUAAAGUCAUCGGCUCUAAGUUGAACAGGCUGGCCUUGAGUUUGCCAUCCUCUUGCCUCCGCCUCCUGAGUUGAGUCACUGGCAUAUGCUGUGGUGGCUGGCUCUGGACUUUCCCUUGGUCUUUGUGUUUCUUCCUGUCCCCCUAUCCCCCAUUCAAUAAAUAUUUCCUUUUUUUUUAAUGUU